CUAAAAUUGAGAGCACUGACCAUCAAGAGGAUAGGCGGCUUCCUGAGCCCUGGACAUCCCCUUGCUCAUCCAGACUUUGGACUGACCCUGACCAGCUUUGCCCUUGCCCAGGAAAACUUGAAUUAAAUUAGAGUUGGAGUUUGAGAAAUAGUUUAUAGGCUUAUUUUCAAGUUUCUUUAAGGGUCAUCUUAAGAAUCCAGAGACCACCAUUUGCCAGAUACUUCACCAACUGAACUACCAGGGAAGCCCAAGAGUUCAACAAUCUGUUACCUCAGUAACAGCUCAGGACGACAGUGAGAGGAGUGUCCCAAGGAUAUCUUGAGUGAUUAUUGCAGUAAGUUCAGUUGAAGGUCUGAGGAGGUGGGUAUUGAAGAGGUCAGAGGUGGCAAGCGAAGGUAGGUCUAAACCUGCUUACAAAGAUGAAAUGUUACCCUGAAUCCUGUCUCUGGUUACAUCUGCAAGGUUUCAGUUUCCCUAGACACUGCUUCAGCCCUCUGUCCCCAGAUCACCCUGGUGGUAUUUGAAUUGUCAAUUUCCAGCCUCUCCCCCUAUUCCCCGUGCGAUGGGGCUAGAAUUCACAUUCACUUACAGUGCAGGUGUGAAUAGAAAUGUGAACAGUUUCACAGAGGAACCUGGCAAUGGCAGGGCCCAACUGGUAGAGAUAAGGAUCUGAUGGGGUUCUGUAGGCACUGGCACAGUCCUGUGGGAGAGAUAGCAUGAUGGUGGAUGUUUAUAUUGAUGCUACCACACUUUAUAUUUUUUUUCCAUUUAUAAAUUUGUUUUUAUUGCCACCAGGGAACUCCCAACUAUCAGUUCAAUUCAGCCACUCAGUCAUGUCUGACUCUUUGCGACCCCAUGAACCACAGCACGCCAGGCCUCCCUGUCCAUCACCAACUCCCAGAGUCCACCCAAACCCAUGUCCAUCGAGUUGGUGAUGCCAUCCAACCAUCUCAUCCUCUGUCGUCCCCUUCUCCUCCUGCCCUCAAUCUUUCCCAGUAUCAGGGUGUUUUCAAAUGAGUCAACUCUUUGCAUCAGGUGGCCAAAGUAUUGGAGUUUCAGCUUCAACAUCAAUCCUUCCAAUGAAUACCCAGGACUGAUCUCCUUUAAUAAAAACCACAGAGUAUUCUCAGAAAUAAAAGCUUCAAGAAGGAAUGCUUAGGUUACAGAAUUCUGAUUGUCAAGCAUUCUUAUUCUCAAGAUUUUAUAUACAACCCUUCUCAAAGUGUCAAUCACCUCAAUGAGACUAAAAGUCAGUUCUGACUUGCAAGGAACAAAAGAUGAACUCUGCUAGGGCUUGAUUUACCUGUUUCUUCAGACUCCUCUAUUUGCUUUCGCUACCCACCUCUCUCACUGGACCUAGUCCCCACUAACAUUGCAUGUAGUCUCACCCUGAAACAGAGGCUGUUAUUUGUUGGCAGGUUGUAUCAUGUCCCUGAUAAGCCUGAUGGUUGUUUCAGUUAGCUAAUGCUGCAUAAUAUAUCACCCCCAAACUUAGGGGCAUAAAACAUUUUUUUAUUCUCAGAUUCUAUGAGCUAUGAAUUCAAAAGGGGGCACAGCCAGAAAGCUCUGCUCUGCUCUGUGACGUCUGGGGCCUUAGCUGGGAUGACUCGAAUGCCUAAGAAUGACUCAAAUGGCUGAGGGCUGUGACAAGCUGGGCUGGAGAAUUCACUUGCAGGAUGAUUUCUCAUGUGUCUGGCCUCUUGGCUGAGAUGGCUGGAAAGCUGGACGCAGCUGGCACUGUCUACCAGAGUGCCUACACCUGGCCUCUCCAGCAUGGCAUUUCUGUGCUGAAUAACAGUUAUUCAGGGACUGAGUAACUGGAAAAUGAUGCUAUGAGGAAAUAGACAAAUUCAGAAUAUGAGACUCUCCACAUUGGCUUCUUGCCUUAGCAAGUCAGUGUCAUGGGGGUCGGGGGAGG
ensembl:lncRNA